UACGAAGGGGGCUAGCGUUGCUCGGAAUCACUGGGCGUAAAGCGCACGUAGGCGGAUUUCUAAGUCAGGGGUGAAAUCCUGGAGCUCAACUCCAGAACUGCCUUUGAUACUGGGAAUCUUCGAGUCCGGGAGAGGUGAGUGGAACUGCGAGUGUAGAGGUGAAAUUCGUAGAUAUUCGCAAGAACACCAGUGGCGAAGGCGGCUCACUGGCCCGGUACUGACGCUGAGACGCGAAAGCGUGGGGAGCGAACAGG
rnacentral:rRNA from 1 species